rnacentral:rRNA from 1 species
GAUGAACGCUGGCGGCGUGCCUAAUACAUGCAAGUCGAGCGAACAGACGAGGAGCUUGCUCCUCUGACGUUAGCGGCGGACGGGUGAGUAACACGUGGAUAACCUACCUAUAAGACUGGGAUAACUUCGGGAAACGGGAGCUAAUACCGGAUAAUAUAUUAAACCGCAUGGUUCAAUAGUGAAAGACGGUUUUGCUGUCACUUAUAGAUGGAUCCGCGCCGCAUUAGCUAGUUGGUAAGGUAACGGCUUACCAAGGCAACGAUGCGUAGCCGACCUGAGAGGGUGAUCGGCCACACUGGAACUGAGACACGGUCCAGACUCCUACGGGAGGCAGCAGUAGGGAAUCUUCCGCAAUGGGCGAAAGCCUGACGGAGCAACGCCGCGUGAGUGAUGAAGGUCUUCGGAUCGUAAAACUCUGUUAUUAGGGAAGAACAAAUGUGUAAGUAACUAUGCACGUCUUGACGGUACCUAAUCAGAAAGCCACGGCUAACUACGUG